UUAUUUCCUUGUAAUAUUGUAAUGUUUAUUGAUUGAAGCAUUAGUAUCAAUUGACUUUGAAAGUCAAAAAAAUAAUAAUUUUUGCUUGUACAUAAAAAAGGCUGUUCAUAUGGCAUAACAGUGAUUUCAUGUUACUCAAUCUGUAUACCUGAUGAUGAAGUCAAGUAUUGUAGUGCAAUGAAAAAACAACUUAGUUUUUUAAUAACAAAUCAAGCACAAGAAAAUUGAAAUCCAUUAACUAUUCCAAUUACAGCUUGUGUUUUCAGAAAAAAAUUGGAUGACUUAAUUGACAUACUUAUGGAGAAUCCUAAAUAGUCUUUACACCUAUUUUGAGAAAGUGAAAUUGACAGUGACUUUGAAUUUAUAAUACUGAAUUUAGUUUUGGAGAAAAUCAUUUGCAAACCAAAACUUCAAACGAAAUUUUGUUUUAAAAUAAUAAAUGCACUUACAAUAAGCAUAUAGUAUAAAAUAAAAGAGGUUGAAAGUAUCCUCACCUAUUUCAAGCAUUCUAAAGAAGAUGGUGAAAUCGGACUUUAAAUAAGGCUUUUAUUUAACAUCUAGAUGUGACAGACAGAAUAAAAUCAACAGCAGUCAAUGACAGCUAAGUGUUUAAUAUCAUUUUUAAAAAUUAUUGGCAUAAAAUUUACAUCAACUCAAAGUUCUUUUAAAAUGUCAGUAAAAUUGUAAUUGUCUAUGAAUGGCUUAAUAUAAUUUUUAAUUCAUUUUUUUAUUUUUAAUAAACCAGAAAUAAACAAAAUAGUAACCAUAUGACAAUGAAUAUAUAUAAAAAAAGUAUUUUUGUUUGCACAUUAGAUUUUAGAAUGCUAGUCUCUUGUUAAUUUGACUCAAACAGAGCUUUCCCUCACAAACAAAGUUAAAAAAUAACAUUCUUUUUUUUGAAGGAACGACUGUAUAUGAUAAAUGCUGGAACAUAAAAUUUAUGUUUUAUAACAAUAUUAGCAAAAACAAUGUCAACAACAUGAAUGGAUUUUAUUUUCCAUUGGGUAACAAUACCAGGUAAUGGUGGGAAAAAAACAAUGACCAUAUAUUUAUUUAAAGCUAAAACCUUUUACACUUUAAAUAGAAUUAAGUGUAAAAGAUGUGAAAGAAUAAUGGAGAAGUGGUCACAAUCUGAACCACAACAUAGUAUAGUAUGUAUGUAAUAACAUCACAAGAAACAUUGGAGCAUAGGAUGUCAAAUGAAGUAAGCUGACAAGGUCAUGUGCUACCAACAUGUAGUAAACAUCAUAUUUAUCUUUGUUAAAAUACUACCGGCACAACUAAUUUAUUGUCUAUUUGGGUACUUCAAUUUUAAAGCUAAUCUUAGAGAAAUAAAUUUUUAGAUAUCUAUUAACAAUCAUUUUAAAAUUGAAUACAAGUAAAAAAAAAACAAGUUACUUCAUACACAGGUGAAGUGGUGAUACUUUACAACAGGAAUGUUCAAUGAAAUAUGCUCAAACUAUGAGUAUUAUCAGAAAUAAAGUUGCUCUGAAACAUAGAAGGUACUGUAAUGAUUUAUAGUGCAGUAUAAGUAAAACAUAAAAAGCUGUAAAAGCAGAAUUACCUUAUAAACAAAAAUGAAAAAAAAAAGUCAUUCAACAAAUUUAAAAUGUUUAUUCAAAUGCAAAUUAAAUUUGUAAUUUCAAAAAAAAUAAUACAGUAACAAAGUUGCAAAAUCAUAAUCACCUUAAUAAAACUAGAGAGAUCAAAUAAUUCAGCUAAUAAGACAGUCUUUUAAGAAAAUCCAUUGAACUGAACCAAAGAAAUUGAAUGAAACUUAAAUAUUACUCACUGUAAUAAAAAAAAAUUUCAAACAGAAACAUAUUUUUAAUGCAUAUGCUUCCAUGAAUAGUUAGCAGCUGUAAUAGAUAAUAAGUUAAAAUUAUUUAAAUGAUUUGACUAGUUCUACUUAUAAGAUUAGUUCUAUUGAAGUUGAUUUUUGAAGACUACACAGGUCAUAGAUAUGUCUAAGCUUACUACUGGCCAUCUAAAUUAGGUAAGCAGCAACACAAACAAACAAAAAUUAAUAAUAAUUUUCUAUUAUUUUUUAUAUUUGGUGUAAACUGUAAACUAAUUUAUAGAGCUAGUGAACAAGUAGCCUAACAUGUGGGGAAUACCGUCAGAGUAUUACUCUUGCUCUUAGACACUAAUAUAACUAUAUAUACUUUACUCUUUAGCAUUGAAAUUAUUAAUGGUUAAAAUAUCUGAUCUAUACUUAAAGGAAAUGGUGGAAAUAUAUAUAUAUAUAUAUAUAUAU